AUCAAUCACUUUUCUCUACAAUUUUAGUUGGUCUCUAAUAAAUCCAAAUCAUAUUCCUACAAUUUUAAUUGGUCCCUAAUAAACCCAAAUAAUAUAUUAUUGUAUUUUAUAUAUCAAUUUUUGAACUCAUAUAGUCGGGAACAAAAUGAAAAAAAAGGUUUCAUCACUCUCUCUCUCUCUCUCCCUCUUUCUCUCUCUAUCAAAUCCCUAAUUUCUUUUCAUGCAUCUCUUUUCUACGGAUUCGAUAUAUGAAUUCACUGGUUCUUCUCAACGAUCUCGUUGAUUGCUUCUGAUCUGUGGUUCAUCAUUGUCUCAAAGCAUCUCUGUCCAGGGCUGGAUCGCUCCGUUGCCGCCUCAUCUCUCCUUGAUUCUCCGAUUUCCCGGCGUAUCUCCGGUAGCGAUUCCGAUCAGAUUGCAUUUGUAUGAUUUGGUUGAGCUAAAGGUUCAAGGAGAUGGUAACUGUCAACUGCAUCAGCCAGUGACAGCUGAAGAUUUGGAAUCCGCUUCUACUACACAAGAAAAUUAAUAGGCUGACUUGAAAUUGAGGGGAGCCUCUUGUUGUCUGCCAGAAUUGCAAUUCAUCUCUCUUGCUUUGGCACAUAAUAAAUUGAAGUUCAGAAAAUCCGUCUGUGUCCCUCUGCACGUGCUGACACAACCACAUGCGUUGAGAAGAAAUUUGCUAAAAACCCAACUAAGGUUGAAGAGCUUGUCACCUAAAGGGACGUAUUUCCAGCAUCAUUGGUGAUCCUAGUCACUGUUUUUGGCGCCAAUAGCCGGCUA